AGAGACUUGGUCGAGAGGCGCGGGACAAGCCUGGCCGCUGGGACUGUGCGCUGAGGUGCACCGACCGUCGGGCCGCGAGCUCCCCGCAGACCCUCGCGGAAUGAGCUGGGGGGCGGCGCGCGAGGCGGCGGAGCGGAAGGCGCACUGCGACCCCGGCGGGCUACAGCCUGCGGCGCUUGCAGGGCGCUGGUGGGGCGCGCCGAGCAGGGGCUGCCCUGGGGCUGCCCCAGUCCCACCAGGUCGGGGCUCAGCUGGCGGCGGCGGCGGCGGUGGCGGCAGCGCGUCCCAUCCGGGUCCGAGUAACCGCCGCCGCCGCCAAAACUCGCCAACGUGGCGGACCCGGAGGCUGUGCUGGCAGAUGCCAGUUACCUGAUGGCCAUGGAGAAGAGCAAGGCGACUCCGGCCGCCCGCGCCAGCAAGAGGACCGUCCUGCCCGAUCCCAGUAUCCGGAGUGUGAUGCAGAAAUAUCUUGCAGAGACCAAUGAAAUAAACUUUGACAAGAUUUUCAGUCAGAAAAUUGCAGGUUCCUGCUCCAGCGCGGCUCCUGGACUGGCCCCGGGUGCUGGCCCCGGGGGUUUCAAUCCAAGCAUAAUUCAGUGAAGCAUGUGUUUGGCAGCGGGACCCAGCUCACCGUUUUAGGUCAGCCCAAGGCCACCCCCUCGGUCACUCUGUUCCUGCCGUCCUCUGAGGAGCUCCAAGCCAACAAGGCCACACUGGUGUGUCUCAUGAAUGACUUCUAUCUGGGAAUCUUGACGGUGACCUGGAAGGCAGAUGGUACCCCCAUCACCCAGGGCGUGGAGAUGACCACGCCCUCCAAACAGAGCAACAGCAAGUACAUGGCCAGCAGCUACCUGAGCCUGACGCCCGAGCAGUGGAGGUCCCGCAGAAGCUACAGCUGCCAGGUCAUGCAUGAAGGGAGCACUGCAGAGAAGACGGUGGCCCCUGCAGAAUGUUCAUAG
rnacentral:lncRNA from 1 species